rnacentral:rRNA from 1 species
UACAGAGGGUGCAAACGUUGCUCGGAAUUAUUGGGCGUAAAGCGCACGUAGGCGGCCAUGUAAGUCAGGAGUGAAAGCCCUCGGCUUAACCGGGGAAGUGCUUUUGAAACUGCAUGGCUUGAAUACUGGAGAGGGUCGCGGAAUUCCCGGUGUAGAGGUGAAAUUCGUAGAUAUCGGGAGGAACACCAGUGGCGAAGGCGGCGACCUGGACAGAUAUUGACGCUGAGGUGCGAAAGCGUGGGGAGCAAACAGG